rnacentral:lncRNA from 10 species
CAGGAAUAAAUACUCUGGCCUCUUCCUCCUCCUGUUGUCCAAUCGCUUGCACUGCAUUUAUCAAACCCAACUAAAAGCUGAGGGCAGAUGAGCCUGGGUAACACACUCCUUCCGGAUCAGCCUCCUGGGGCAGGCAGAAUCACAAAGAAUACAUCAGGAGACACACACACUGAGAAUGACCCCAUCUUAAUACUAGAUUCCUAUGUAAAAGGAGAAAAAACAUGGAAGUUUCAAUCAGGCAAGUUCCCACAAUGGCCACACCAGUGAGUCGGCUCCCUGGAAAUGUCAGUAUAACACAGAGAAACCUCUCCUUAAAAUGGUAGCAUCCACUUUACGAGUUAAGAAGAGUAAGAAGUGAGCAACACAUGGCAUUCUAUUACGGCAUUGCAAGUUGCGGCAAUGAUUUCUUUGUUGUCUUGAUAUCAAAAUUUAACUCUAUCAUGGUAUAAAUUGAUCUUGUCAUUGUGACCCAUGAACAUUUACUGAAUAUUUAUGAUAUGUUUACCAAUGAGAAUGCAAAGAGGUCUCAGACUCUUUAUCUCAAGAGGCUUAUCUAUUUAGGGGGAAAAUGCAUGUAUAUUAAAGAAUUCCAGAUAGUAUAGUCUACCAAGUCUAGAGUUUAUUUAUUUCACUUAUAAGCUAUAGAAUGAACCUGUAAUGCUUUCCCAGAAGUGUAGCAGAAGAUACAAGAUCCUGGGUCAGAAAUGAAGGAUUUUGUGAUUUACAGCACAGCAAGCAGCAGUGGAGUUUGGGGAGCCCACUGCUUUUCCAACAAGCAGAAAGUUAGCCUGAUCUUUGUUGAAGGCGGAUACAUUACCUCAUCUUGCAGGUAACCAGCUGCAUAAACAAGUGUGAGAAAUGGCCUGAGUAUCAGGGCCUUGCAGUCUUGGCUCACCCAGCAAGACAUGUAGGAACUCAAGAAGCCCAAGGAAGGCUGCCUCCUCCAACACAGGCAGAAAGUCAAAUGGUCAAUACCAGUGACAGCACCACUGAAGUUUGGAAAUCAGAAAUAACAGGACAUUCAUGACAUAGGGGAAAUGGAUUUUUUUUUCAUGAAUAUAAACCAAAAAUAAAAUUCUAAGCCCCUCAACCAUCUGAAUGGACCGCUCCUUUUGGCCAGGGCACUCCAAAGUUAAUCUGAAAAACUAAUUCAAGCCAUGAUAGGAAGUAGGGGUCAGACAUGCCUCAUUAAACUCUCCUCCCUUUUGGAAUUCAGGAAAAACUGGACUAGCAUUAACAACACAGACCUUAAGUCUGAUAAACAUUUACAAUCUGUUCUCUCUGAAGCCUACUACCUGGAGGCUUCAUCUGCAUAAUAAAACCUUGAUCUCCACAACCCCUUAUCAUAACUCAGACAUUCCUUUCUAUUGAUAAUAAUUCCUUCAACCAAUUACCAAUCAGAAAAUUUUAAAAUCUAUCCAGGACCUGGAACACCCACCCCUACCUCCUCAUGCUUUGAGUUGUCCUACCUUUCCAGGUCAAACCAAUGUACAUCUUACAUGUAUUGAUUAAUGACUUGUGUCUCCCUAAAAUGUAUAAAAGCAAGCUGUACCCCUACCGCCUUGGGCACAUGUCAUCAGGACCUCCUGAGGCUGUGUCACAGGUGCAUCUUUAACCUUGGCAAAAUAAACUUUCUAAAUUGAUUGAGUCCUGCCUCAGAUACUUUUGGGUUCACAUUACAAAAACGAAGAAAAGAUUACUGCCUAUAGUAAAAUAUUUAUUAUUAGCUUACCUCAACAGGCAGCAGUGGUUU